CUCUAUAUUUUUAGCAUUCUUAAAAUGCCAAGAAAAAGUUUGACAACUCAUCUUGGCACUAGAAAAUAUGGCACAAUAUCUAAUUACUCAAAUGCUACACUUCAAGAUGCAUUAGCCAAAAUUAAAUUAGAAAACAUGUCAAUUGGUGAAGCUUCUAAAAUUUUUAAAGUACAAAUUGGAAUUAAUGAUUUUAAAAGUAUUGUCAAAAACUAUCUCGAUGAUAGUGGAAAAGAUAUACAACAGUUUAAAGAUAACCGACCAGGUUGAGAGUGGUGUAUACUUUAUCUUGACAGAUAUUCCUCAUUAAAAGAAAAAGUAUCUCAUUGUAUUUCAAGGAAACGUGCACAUAUUAAAUAUUGUCAAAUAGAAUUAUUUUUUCAAAAUCUAGAGAAGGAAUUAAAUGGAGUAACACCAGAUAACAUUUAUAAUAUGGAUGAAACAAGGUUUCAUGAUGACCCUGGAAAAAAAAAACUUAUUUUUUAAAGGAAAACACAGUUGGUCUGACUGGCUUUUUAAUGCACCAGAAGGAUCAAGAAUAAGAACUUCUUGCAGUGGCUGGAUGGAAAUUCAAAUAUUUGAAGAGUGGCUAUUAAAUCACUUUGUUCCAAAUAUUAUAAAUAAAGAAGAUUGGGUAUUUUUCGAGUUUAAAAGCUAAUUGAAGGUCAGUUCUUAACCAAUGGCAUAAAACAUCCCAUGGGAAAAAAGUUAAUAACCUACCAAAAUAUUUGUUUUCGCAGCUCAUUAAAUCUACUCUUAAUGUUGGUAAAGAAAAUCUAGAACAUAAUUUACAAGCAGAAUUUAAGGCUACUGGCAUAUAUCCAUUCGACCCUGAACAUGUUCUCUCAAAAUUACCCAGUUUUACAAAUAUAGAUAUUCAUCUCAACAUCGGAGAAUCGUUUAGGAAAUAUGUUGAUGAAAUUCAUACAUCUAAUCUUAAUUAUGAGUCAAGCAAAAAAUUCAAGUUACCAAUAACAGCAGGGAAAAGUGUCACUGGGAAAAAUCAGCCACUGAGGUAGAAGCAUACUAUAAGUUAAGAGACAAUAAGAAAAAAAAAUCAAGAUAAUAUUGGAACAAAGAAAAGAGGAAGACCACUUGGAUCAAAAAAUAUAAUUAUGAAAAUAAACAAAAAAAAUGUUUCACAAAUUUCAAGCAUUGUAGAUGUUAAUCAAGUUAUUAAAGACAAUGAGCAAGUUGUAUCUCAAAAUGAUGCAGUUUCUUCAUUAGAGCAAAUAAACAAUCACAGUAUACUUGUUUUCCAUGAUUAUAUGAUUAAAGAGUUAGUUAUGACUCAAGACUAAAAUAAUGGACUUAAACACUGUAAUAUUUAGUUUUAUAGUCACAGGUGUUUAUUUGUGUAGAAUUAUAUAGAAAUGAUGUCUUAA